rnacentral:rRNA from 1 species
UACAGAGGGGGCAAGCGUUGUUCGGAAUUACUGGGCGUAAAGGGCGCGUAGGCGGCCUGUUAAGUCGAACGUGAAAUCCCCGGGCUCAACCCGGGAACUGCGUCCGAUACUGGCAGGCUUGAAUCCGGGAGAGGGAUGUGGAAUUCCAGGUGUAGCGGUGAAAUGCGUAGAUAUCUUGAGGAACACCGGUGGCGAAGGCGGCAUCCUGGACCGGUAUUGACGCUGAGGCGCGAAAGCCAGGGGAGCAAACGGG